UCGGAACGUGCCCGAUCGUGAGGGAUAACGAGGCGAAAGCUUUGCUAAUACCGCAUACGAUCUACGGAUGAAAGCGGGGAUCUUCGGACCUCGCGCGGACGGAGCGGCCGAUGGCAGAUUAGGUAGUUGGUGGGAUAGAAGCUUACCAAGCCGACGAUCUGUAGCUGGUCUGAGAGGAUGAUCAGCCACACUGGGACUGAGACACGGCCCAG
rnacentral:rRNA from 1 species